rnacentral:rRNA from 1 species
ACGAACGCUGGCGGCGUGCUUAACACAUGCAAGUCGCACGGAAAGGCCCUGCUUUUGUGGGGUGCUCGAGUGGCGAACGGGUGAGUAACACGUGAGUAACCUGCCCUUGACUUUGGGAUAACUUCAGGAAACUGGGGCUAAUACCGGAUAGGAGCUCCUGCUGCAUGGUGGGGGUUGGAAAGUUUCGGCGGUUGGGGAUGGACUCGCGGCUUAUCAGCUUGUUGGUGGGGUAGUGGCUUACCAAGGCUUUGACGGGUAGCCGGCCUGAGAGGGUGACCGACCACAUUGGGACUGAGAUACGGCCCAGACUCCUACGGGAGGCAGCAGUGGGGAAUAUUGCACAAUGGGCGGAAGCCUGAUGCAGCAACGCCGCGUGCGGGAUGACGGCCUUCGGGUUGUAAACCGCUUUCGCCUGUGACGAAGCGUGAGUGACGGUAAUGGGUAAAGAAGCACCGGCUAACUACGUG